rnacentral:rRNA from 1 species
ACACUCCUACGGGAGGCAGCAGUGAGGAAUAUUGGACAAUGGGUGGAAGCCUGAUCCAGCCAUCCCGCGUGCAGGAAGACGGCCCUAUGGGUUGUAAACUGCUUUUAUCUGGGGAUAAACCUACUUACGUGUAAGUAGCUGAAGGUACCAGAAGAAUAAGCACCGGCUAACUCCGUGCCAGCAGCCGCGGUAAUACGGAGGGUGCAAGCGUUAUCCGGAUUUAUUGGGUUUAAAGGGUCCGUAGGCGGACUGAUAAGUCAGUGGUGAAAUCCGACAGCUUAACUGUCGAACUGCCAUUGAUACUGUUAGUCUUGAGUAAGGUUGAAGUGGCUGGAAUAAGUAGUGUAGCGGUGAAAUGCAUAGAUAUUACUUAGAACACCAAUUGCGAAGGCAGGUCACUAAGUCUUAACUGACGCUGAUGGACGAAAGCGUGGGGAGCGAACAGGAUUAGAAACCCCAGUAGUCCCAU